GAGGAUAUAGCUCAAGUGGUAGAGCACAUGCUUAGCAUGCACGAGGUCCUGGAUUCAAUCCAUUAAUUUCA
rnacentral:tRNA from 1 species